CUUCAGAACGCUCUGCCUGUUUUGUGCAGCUGCUCCGAGCACUUUGUGUUGAAAAUCUCUGAAUAUUUCAGAAAGGUGCUGCUGUUGUCACCACCGCGCUUUCUCAGGCAACCAAUCACAUUUUAGAUCAUGUGGGACUCGUCACCCGUCACCCUGGUAACCCAGAAAACAGAGGAGGAAAUUUAUCAGACAAACUGGGACAGAAAAGCCUGUUUGUUGGAGCAGCUUGUCUCUGAAUGUUUCUUAGCAUUAGCUGAUUAGCUAAUGUUAAUUAAAACAAACGUGCAGCCUCUUUUCUCCCUCUGUACAAGCGCCUCAGCUUACUGCUUUUCUGCCAGAGGUAACGUUGUGUCAGGUCACGUCACGGGACUCUGAUGAGGACGCAGCAGACAUGUUAGCUUGUCUGCACGAUUAAAGGCUGCAGAUGAAUUGGCGAGUAUCGGAGGAACAGAUUGUUGGACAUUUGAAAGUAACCAAGGCGGUUCUGGAGCUGAUCCAUACUGGCGGACUGUGUGUCAGUGAGACAGGACGGGCCGGUGCUAGAAAGUUAGCAUGCUAACUUCAGCAGAAACAUAGAAAUCUUGGACGUGAAGUCAACAAGAGGUCAGUGAAAACCUGAUGACAGAUUCUGAGGGAGGAAUCGAUUUUGGCAGCUGUUCACUCAGGAAAUGACUGAGUUGGUUGAAGCUCAGCGAACACCUCACCAUCCUCUGCGCCGCAUGUCUCUGCAGAAGACUGACAAGAACUGAAUCGAGUUUUAAACAAUGCGAGAAUCAGCAGAACUCCAGCAGAGCAAAUGAAAUCUUCUCUCGAAACCUUUCAACCUCGCUGUCCUGCUGAAGGAGGGAAACAAUAAACAGGACGGGCGGCACGUUAUCGAGGCUCAGCGCUUCAUUCACAAGUCAGCGUCCUCUCGGACACAAGAGAGUCAAUGAGUGACAUUAACGUCGCCUCCUAUCAACAACACGUGGAGACGGAAUAAAGAGAAACUUCUGCAGCUGCGACAGACAAACAGGAGAUGUGAGAGUCUUCCUCUGUCUCUGAGCUUGAAACCGAGCCAGCGACCGCCGUCUGAGGACGAGUUUCAACAUUUCUCGACGUGUUCAGGAUGAAACAACACCUGGUUCUGAGAAGCCUCAGUGGACCCGUGUGCGUCUGAUCGAAACACCAGAGCUCCGUGCUGAGAAUGCCUGGUUGAUUGGAGUUAACAGCACUGACAGACCUGUGGAGCCGGAGCGCACCUUGCUCUUAUUUUAUUAAUGGAAAGAGAGGGAAAGCAGCCGAGUUUGUCCUGAAACAACUGCCUCUAUUAUUGCGUCCCAGCCGAGCGGUCAGAGGUGACUGACAGCAGUUUUGGGGAAAGCGGCCGAGUUUCAAUUAGCUUCUCCCGCAGGAGGACAGAGGUUGUUCAUCUGCAGCGCCGAGCACAGAACCCUGCCAGCACCACUCUCAUCCCUCCAGGUCCAAACACGAAGAACAAACCAGCGGUGUAACUCUGGUGUUUUACUCUCCAGACGCUUAGUCAAACAUUCACUUCCUGAUUAUUUCUUCUGCCCAAACAUGAUUUCAAUCUUUUAGACCAUUUCAGGUCUGAAGGACAUUUUCAGAGAUGGACCAGAUAUUUUAAUGACGAACGAGAUGAUUCACUGAAGGAAAAAGACCAAAACAACAAUAUGAAAAUAUUCCAUUCUCAGUGAAAGUGUAAUAAAUAUUCAUACAUCAAAUAUUAAAAUAUUUAAGACUUCUCUCCAAUCUUUGUUUUUCUGUGAAAUGUUGGAGAAUUUGAUCUUUUCUUUAAUCCUCAAACAGUUUUAAAACAAAACCAGUCGAGUUUAGAUGAAA